GGCAAUGUGUCUCAAUGGUUUGAGCGUUGGACUAAGACUUUGGAGAACAAGGAUCGAGUCCCAGCUUGGCCA